GUUAGUGCUGGCUCUGGAUGUCCCUUCAGAAAUUUCUGGAGUGAAUGCAGAAGUCUGAGGGACUCUUUGGAGGAGUCCUUUUCCCCGCCUCCUCCGCCUCCACAGUUCAAAUUUCACUAAACCUGAUUGCACCAACCCCACCCUUGUGUUUACAUUGCACUGGUCUUUUUGGCAGAAUCCAAGUCCCUGCAUAGCCAACAAGAUUUUUUUACCUUCUACACUGGCUGAAGUGGGAGGCCAGGGGGGCCCUGAGAGGGAGGCGGGGCACCCCCACUCCGGGAUGCUGCUGCAGAGCUUUCCUGGAGGAAAACUGCAGCUGACAGUCACAGACUGACAGAGCCAUAGGGUGUUUAGAAGGAAGGUAAGCAGCCUCUGUGUGUGUGUGUGUGUUUGUGUGUGUGUGUGUAUAUAUGCACGUGUGCGCUCAUGCCCACAUGUGUGUGUGUGUCUUCUGCAAGGCUCUAGUGCCUGAAACUGAGCCGUGUGCUCUCUGAGACUUGCCAGUUUGCCAAGAGAUGGUGCUGACCGGAGAUGGGGGUGCGUCCUGGAGUGUAAUAAUAAGCAGAACAGAAGCAUUAACCCUGCAUGCCCUUCAGGACUAGUCUAGGAAUGUCUUUAUUUGCAAUCUAGAAGAGUGUAACUUACGUGCUUCUUUUUGGGGAGAGUUCAGGGGUGGCCUGAUGUGGCAUGUUUGAUUUUCUGGUUGACUCCCUGACUGGCUGGCUCAGGUAAUCCUUCAUGAGGCCGAAUGGACCUCCUGUUUUUCUCUCGGGUAGGUCAGAAAGUGUUUCCCAUUUAAAAGUGUGCACAGGGAGCUGGGAUGUG
rnacentral:lncRNA from 1 species